GAUGAACGCUGGCGGCGCGCCUAACACAUGCAAGUCGAACGGCACCCCUCCUCGGAGGGAAGCGAGUGGCGAACGGCUGAGUAACACGUGGAGAACCUGCCCCCUCCCCCGGGAUAGCCGCCCGAAAGGACGGGUAAUACCGGAUACCCCGGGGUGCCGCAUGGCACCCCGGCUAAAGCCCCGACGGGAGGGGAUGGCUCCGCGGCCCAUCAGGUAGACGGCGGGGUGACGGCCCACCGUGCCGACAACGGGUAGCCGGGUUGAGAGACCGACCGGCCAGAUUGGGACUGAGACACGGCCCAGACUCCUACGGGAGGCAGCAGUGGGGAAUCUUGCGCAAUGGGGGGAACCCUGACGCAGCGACGCCGCGUGCGGGACGGAGGCCUUCGUGUCGUAAACCGCUUUCAGCAGGGAAGAGUCAAGACUGUACCUGCAGAAGAAGCCCCGGCUAACUACGUG
rnacentral:rRNA from 1 species